rnacentral:rRNA from 1 species
UACGAAGGGAGCUAGCGUUGUUCGGAAUCACUGGGCGUAAAGCGCACGUAGGCGGAUGUGUCAGUCAGGGGUGAAAUCCCGGAGCUCAACUUCGGAACUGCCUUUGAUACAGCACGUCUUGAGUCCGGAAGAGGUGGGUGGAAUUCCUAGUGUAGAGGUGAAAUGCGUAGAUAUCUGGAGGAACACCGGUGGCGAAGGCGGCAUCCUGGACCGGUAUUGACGGCUGAGGCGCGAAAGCUAGGGGAGCAAACGGG